GGAGUUUUGUCUUCUACAUAUGUUGAUACAACGAAACCCGAACAUGUUCUUUCAACAUUUUGUGGAAUGUCUGUUCCAUUUCAAUGAUUACAAGAAGCACACAAUUUAUAACAGAUUUACACAGUCAAACAAAGAUCGUGAGAUGUUUUCAUUGAAUGGAGAAAAGAAUAAAGAAAAGAGGAUGACAUUAUACAAGUUCCUAUUUGAGAACAUGACCGAUAACCACAGG